rnacentral:lncRNA from 1 species
GAGAAACUACCACACCCACAGGGUGCACUUCUCCGAAGGAUGAAUAGCAGUGAUUGAUACUCUAAAUAGGUAUCAAUCACCCGGGUGGGGGGCCAAGGUUUUAACCCACCCUUUCCAGGAAAGAGCCUUGACUUGCCCUUACUGAAAAUCUUUUUUUUUUUUUUUUGGUACCAGGGAUCGAACUUGGGACCUUGUGCUUUUGAGGCAGGUGGUGGAACCACUGAGCUAAAUCCCUGGCCUAAAAUUCAUUUUUUUUUCUUUUGUUUUUGGUAUCAGGGAUCAAACUUGGGUCCUUGCGCUUGCUCAGCAGGCAGCAAAACCACUGAGCUAAAUCUCUGGCCCCACUGAAAAAUCUUUGUAAGCUCCCUAUGUGACUUGCUUCCCCAUCGGAUCCCCAUUAGUCAAUAUUACCUAAGCCAGUAUACUUGUCACAAUCUUAUUGGUUGUUCAUAGUUUUGUCCAAUUUGUGAUUUAUCAUUGGAUUAGUAUUACCUAAACGGCUGUACUUGUAAUCUUAUUAGUUGACUAUAGUUUUGUCCCACCUUAAACCCGCCUCACCUCAUGGCUUUGUCCCAUAAAACACCUUUGAGAAGCAGAGUGAGUGAGUAACCCAUUUUCCAGUCCCCCUUCUGUCUCUCUUAGAAGCUGUCUUUUUCUCUCAAUAAGUUUUUCCUACUCUUAACUUCCAUUGUUCCUAGAAUUCAUCCUUUCAUUUUAGAGAACAGGAACUCAUGUUUUGGAUAUCUAGUAGGCUUGGGAGUUACAUCUAUUCCCCCUGUAUCAGCUUGAGAUGGUUUCUGAAGGACCCUAGUUAGCAAGACAGACUCCAUAUUGCUGCUUGACCCACCUGCCUGCCCUUUAGAUGAACUCAGAAGGAGGAAGCUAAAAACCUCCUCCCCUUAGAAAGUCUCUUUAGAAAUAACAAUCAACUAUUGUUUUACAAAUGUUCUAACGGCAGGACAUUCUGCUUCUGUACCUUUUGCUUACUUUACUAGUUCUAUCCCAUAGGGGGGGGCCUAGAAACUGCUGGCCUCAAAGGUGUAUAAAACAUGUUUGUCAACCCCCAGUCAGGGCUCCAGUCCAAUGGAUGCUCGGCUCGGGUCCUGGCCGGUAAUAAACUCCUGUGUGGAUUUAAUAUCGGUCUCUGGUUGGUUCUCUCUCACUGGGUGUAACAUUCUUGGAGGCCCCAGCGAGAUAGCCAACUGCUCUGGAGCUUAUUAUCUUGGAGCCAUUGUUUCUUUUUAGGAGAGACCAGGAUCGGACAUCGGAGGUGUUUGGCCCCUCUGGACACCGGUCUGCAGAAGGAGAGGCCACCCUGACGGUAUUCCGGGACUCCGGGGGGCCUAUCACCGAUCAACAGACCCGCAGGAGUUUAUUGGGAAAGACUCUAGAGCCAACCUGGGAUGAUUGCCAGCAGCUUUUACAGAUCCUAUUCACCACUGAGAAACGGGACGCAUUUAUCAACAGACAGUCAAAGAGGCCCUGGGGCCAAAACCCGGCAUCACUCCCGGAACUCCUCCGGGGCAUUCGGCCGAGGCUGAAACAGUUCCAUCACGACACCCCAAAUGGGACCCCAAUGAUGAUGACGGAAGUCCUAGCCAAGAAACUGGGAAAAGUCACUAUUGCUGCACUCCAGGCACAAGAGAUAGUCCCUCUGGACAAAAAAAGAAAAAGCCACCUUUUUGACUUUAAAGAAAACCUUAGUGUCAGCACCGGCCCUGACCCUACC